AAUACGGCUUCCUGUUUUGCGCAGGCGCAGUCCGCUUUCUUUUCCUUGGCGGCUUUCCUUCGCCCAAGAUGUCGGCGCUGGGGGCUGCGGUGGGAUCCGUUGCCAUCCUCGGCAACGCUGCCUUGGGAGGCGCCGUGGGACCUCCACGAUUGUCCCGCUGCAUGUUCCUCUGACAAUCAUACCAACACAGACCUCAUGGAAAUUCAACUAUUAAGAUGCAAACACAGCAGAAUCUUUAUAAUAGGAAGAUGAAGUCUCUGUCGGCCACUUUUUUUGAUAUUUUUACCCAAUGGCUGCAAGUGCCCCUGACAAUCAUACUGUCACAGACCGUCAUGAAGAUAUAACUAUGAUGAUGCAAACACCACAGAAUCGUUUUAACAGGAAGAUGAAGUCUAUGGCAACCAAAUAGUUCUGAUUUGUUUACACAGUGAUAAAAGAUGCUCAACCUGUAGUAGCUUAUUCCUUUAUAAAGCUAAACAUACACAGAAAGUACAAAAGAAAAGACUGAUUGAGCAGAAAAAUAACAUCAACGCAACCUGUUACUUAAUGUCCCGGCUUAGCGGUGGAAAGAGACAUGGACAGGAAGUAGACCAACAUCGUGAGGUAUCACUUCCUACACAGCAGUGGAACGCUGGAGGGAUUUCUGUUUCUCCUGUCGCGCAAAAUCUCUAAGGAGUUUGAGGAUUGCAAAUUGCUCAUCCAUUCUCUAGUGCUCAUUUUAACCAGAAGGGCAUGCAAGUAUGGAGCCAUCCCAAGUCCGUUUCUCCACUGGAUUUAACAAUAAAGCAAAGUAGUCAAAAUGUGCAGUCUUUUAUUUCAGCACACAGUUUGUUUUUUUAAAAAAUAGAGUGCAUUGCAGUAGUCUAUUUGAGAUGUGACAAGAGCGUGGACCACUGUGGCCAACUCUGGCUUCUCAAGGUACAGGCACAACUGGCACACAAAUUUUAAUUGUGUGAAAGCUCCCCUGGCCACCGCUGAAACCUGGGGUUCUAGGCUCAGUGAUGAGUCCAAGAUCACUCCCAAGCUGUGAACCUGCAUCUUCAGAGGUAGUGUAACCCCCUCCAGCACCAGCUGUAAUCCUAUACCCUGUUUGACCUUCUGACUGACCAGGAAAAGUCUAUAACCUUGCCCCUACCUUAUUUUCCAUCUUCAUUGCUAUGAUACUUCACCUUGGUUGGAAGCUUUCCACCAGAGUGGAAAUCAUCUAUCGGACCGAUGGCAAGCUAUUUAACCUCAGCAGACUGAAAGCCAAAACCAAGGUCACCACAACAGCUAUUGUAUAACUCCAAUAUGCUGAUGACAACAUAGUCUGUGCGCACUCAGAAGAAGACCUACAAGCCACUCUAAACACCUUUGCAGAAGCAUACAAGAAGCUCGGCCUCUCAUUGAACAUUGAGAAAACCAAAGUGCUCUUCCAACAGGCACCAGCUAACCCCUCUGCAAUGCCAGGAAUACAGCUUAAUGAUGUCACAUGAGAAAACGUUGACCAUUACCGCUACCUUGGCAGCCACCUCUCCACAAAAGUUAACAUUGAGACUGAAAUACAACACCGCCUGAGCUCUGCAAGUGCAGCAUUUUCCCAAAUGAAGCAGAGAGUGUUUGAUGAUCAGGACAUUCGCGAAGAUACCAAGGUGCUUGUUUACAAAGCCAUUGUCCUCCCAACCCUGCUCUACGCCUGCGAAACGUGGACGGUCUACAGACAUCACACUCAACUCCCGGAGCGUUUCCAUCAGCGUUGCCUCAGAAAAAACCUUCAAAUCUUUUGGGAAGACAGGCGGACAAAUGUCAGUGUGCUUGAGGAAGCAAAGACCACCAGCAUUGAAGUGAUGCUCCUACGCCAUCAACUCUGCUGGACUGGCCACGUUGUCCGAAUGCCCGAUCACCGUCUCCCAAAACAGUUACUCUACUCAGAACUCAAGAAUGGGAAACGUAAUGUUGGUGGACAGGAAAAGAGAUUUAAAGAUGGGCUUAAAGCCAACCUUAAAAACUGUGGCAUAGACACAACUGAGAAGCCCUGGCCCUUGAGCACUUUAAUUGGAGGUCAGCUGUGACCAGCAGUGCUGCGGAGUUCGAAGAGGCACGAAUGGAGGGCUUAAGGGAGAAACCUGCCAAGAGGAAGGCCCGUCAAGCCAACCCUGACCGGGACCGCCUUCCCCCUGGAAACCAAUGUCCUCACUGCAGGAGAACAUGCAGAUAAAAAAUAGGUCUCUUCAGCCACCUACAGACACACCCCCAAGAACCCACAGAUGGAAGACAAUCAUCCUCGAACUACGAGGGAUCGCCUAAGUAAGUAAUCUUGUAGUUUGCUACAAACCCCUUGUAAGGUGGAAGGUGUUGCUCACAGAGUGAGGUGACGUGACUGACAAUCUUGCUAUUGAUUAAAACUUGUCUUACUGGAAAGAGGUUGCAGAUUUUGCUUUCUCAAGAGUUUGGGAGUAAGGUAUUACAAGGCCAUAAUGUAGUGCCCUGUGAUGUGUUGCUUUUCCCAGGGUAAUGACUCCUGCCAUCUGAAACAAGGUAGUGCAUUUUAGUGGGACAUCAUCUUGCUUCUACAAUGGAAUUUGGGUUGAUGUCCAGUUCCCUCCCACUUUGUCCUUUUUGAAGAUUGAGAAAACAUUUACACUCUUAAAGUUUGCAAACACACCACUUGCUCUUUAGCCUCCAAGGGUGCCUGGGGAAUUGAAAGAGAAACCUUUAAGAGAAAUGGUCAUAGAAGGGGCUUGGGAUUUGUGGGCUUGUUUACCGACACAGAAGAGAAAAAGGCUGUGUUCAAAGCUGUUUCAGCACAGGAUCACUGUAUGUCACAUGGACAGUUUGGGUGCAUCCCAAUGUAUGUACUCUAUGGCCAUACUGGAGCCAUUCUGGUCAGGAAAACAUGGAGCUGUGCCUCCUUGUAAUGGUAUACAAGGCAGGUUGUAGUGCUAACAGUUAAAUGGACAUGUAAGGAGUUUGCAUAAGGAAAAAAGGUAUACUUCCUCAUUCAAACUUACAAUAACCACAGCUGGGGCAAUGAAGCAUUACACUAUCUUAGUGUCAUCUGUUGUGUUGGUUGGGAGGAUACACUUCUGGUAGCUACAUUCCAAAAAUUUAACUUUUCGAGCCUUUGGAGGUGGCUCAUUUCCCUGUUCCUGUCAGAAGAUCUGUGUUGAUGUGUGUCGGCAACAACAUGAUGAAAUUAAGUGCCAUCUGCUUAAAACGUUGAAAGACAAUUCAGCACAGAAUGACCCUCCACUUAUCCACGGAUCAACUUAUCAGAAUCCAUAAUGCUAUCCCCCAAACCAACCUCCAACUUAUACAUAAGGUUGACUUAUAUAUGAGUUUAAUCAGUAUAUACAAAUUUGAAGAAGCCAAACAUGAAAGGACUUGUUGAAAUCGCUCCUUACUACCAGAUUACACUACCCAGGAUCAGUAGCAACAACAGCACACAGUGAAAGGGGCAGGAAAUGGUGCUACAGAAGAAAGAGGAAGAACAAGACUAGACAGGACUUGGUACUACUGGUUCUUAUACGGCAUGUGUACCCGCACUAAAUCUUCUGUAUGAUCAAGAGUUUACUGUAACUUACUUUUUUGGACUACAACUCCUAGAAACCCCAAGAGAUUCAGACAGCUGCAACUAAAAAAUAAAAAACCUUUUCAAAAAACCUGUAGUGACUAUCUGAAGGACUGUAAUUUCCUAUAUAAGGUGAUCCAUGUUUUGUUAGUAUCUAAAGUCUGGGAUGUGGAGAUUUGUAAAAGGCACCAUGAUGUGGUGGGUUGAUUGGAAAGGCAUGUGUUGGCAGCUGAUUGGCUAAGCCAGCCAGGAGCCAGAAUUCUGAUUAGCGACUGUCUCUGGCUUGCUGCUGAGAAAAACAGUUUUAACUGUCACCUUUCAACUCGGAGAGUGAAGAGAGCGUUUAAAGUUUUUAACUUGUUCCAUAUCUCUAUCCUGCUUAGAACAAAGAAGUAUAGUGGCCUCCGUCCAUGAAUCUGGGAUCUCUCCUUUCUGCAUAAUGUGAUCCAUUACAGAUAGCAGUAGCGGGCCCAGUUCUUCCUUGUAUGACUUAUAAUACCAAGCAGAAAGUCCACCUGGAUCUGGGGCUUUAUUAAUUUUGGUUUUGUCGAUAGUCUUAAAUAACUCCUCCUGUGCAAUUAUAUGCCCUUGCCCCUAGCGAAUGAGAAUAGACAAGCUACAACACUAAUUCGCCAGAGACAUCAAAAUGUCAGCAGUGUGCCCUGCCUGGAAUGAGGGGUGUGAGAUGUAACUUGGAUUUGGAAGAUUUAUGUCUUCCAAGCUAGUAAUCAGAAGGCGAGGCAGGAGGCUAGCAUUCCUCUUUCUAUGAAUUAUGGAAAGAAUAAGCUGUUCUUCCAUAAAGUAGCACCCUCUACCAAGCUGUAAAUGGGAGAUUUCAAUGAAUGAAUAAAAUGAAAGGUUCAAAAUAGGCUUCUAUGAACACCAAGAGUUUUAAGAAGUAUACUCAUUAACAGUAUAGCUUGAGUACACAGUAUCUAAAGUGCUUGAUAUCUGAAGCAUUUUGGAUUUCAGGGUAGGUGUGGGGGUUGUGGUUUUUGUAUGUUUGUUUGUUUUUAUUUUGAAAUAUUUGCAUGUGCAUAAUGAGAUAUUUUGGCCAUGGGACUCAAGAAAAAACAAGAAAUUCAUUUAAGUAACAUCUAACCUUAUUAUACAUAUAGGCUGAAGACAAUUUUAUCCAAACUCCCAAAUAAUUUUUUGCAUUAAACAAGGUUUGUGUAAAUUGAACUAUCAGAAAGCAAAGAUGUCACUACCUCAAUCACUCGAAUAGACAAUUUUGGAUUUUGGAGUAAUUCAGAUUUUAAAAUUCCGCUCAACCUGCACAAACUCAAAUGCCAAGUUUCCAUCACGGAUGCAUUUUUUCUAGCUGUGUAAAAUAUCCUGCCUGUUACUAAAUGACUGCCAGGUUGACGUCAAAAACAGUCACAUAGAGUGAACAGAUAACACCUGUCAUUUGGCUGAUGAGUUGAAUGCCAAAUUUUAAAAUCCAAUUUUGAGAGCCAAAUAUCUAUUUAUAAAGUCUAAUCUGGGUAGUAUUUGAAUUUGGAUAUUGGCAAUCAAUACAUUAGAAUCUAAAUGCCUAACAGUAGAGUCCAGCUAGGCAGAUUCAGACAUAUGUUUUGAACAUUAUGUUCAUUUGAGCCACAUCUGACAACUUGAUGCAACAAAUAUAAGAUAUUUUUUAAAACUUAUUUUUACUUACCGUAACUUUUAAAAAGCUGUUUUAUUGCUAUUGGAGCCCACAAAGUAGUUUAAAAUAAACAAUGAAGAAUGUUUGGUUCUAUAAUUUCUAACCUUUAAAGCAGGGGUCCCCAAACUCAGGCCUGUGGGCCAGAUGUGGCCCUCCAAGGUCAUGUACCUCCUAGCUCCCCACCCUAAACUUCAGACAUAGGGUCGCCCUAAGUCUGAAACAGCUUGAAGGCUCAAAACAACAACAAUCCUAAUUAACUUGACUAUGUCAUCAGCCAAAAGCAGGCCCACACUUCUCAUUGAAAUACUAGUAAGUUUAUGUUGGUUAAAAUUGUCCUUCAUUUUAAAUAUUGUAUUGUUCUGAUGUAUUUUCUUGUACUAUACAUUAGAUAUGUCCAGUACACAUAGGAAUUCGUUUGUGUUUUUUUCUCUCUCAAACUAUACUCUGACUCCACAACAGUCUGAAGGACAUGAACUGGCCCUUGGCUUAAGGGGUUUGAGGGCCCCUGCUUUAAAAGGAUCUCAAUAAUCCCUUCCCCCUCACGCUGGAAGAUUGUGCUUUCAACACAAUGUUCCUGUUAUCUGAUUUGUUUUGUAUGCACUGCAAUAUAUAUCUAUAUGUAUAUCAAAUUUAUACAUUGAUUUGAGAGAGCUUUGUACAGAUUUCUCAAAUGAUAUAAAAUAAAUGUUCCACCAGCUUGUC